rnacentral:rRNA from 1 species
AUUGAACGCUAGCGGGAUGCUUUACACAUGCAAGUCGAACGAGUGGCGGACGGGUGAGUAAUAUAGCGGACCGUGCCCAGUAGCGGGGGAUAACUACUAGAAAGAGUGUCUAAUCCCGCAUACUAUUGUGUCGGCCGAUAUCGGAUUAGCUAGUUGGUGGGGUAAGGGCUCACCAAGGCAGCGAUCCGUAGCUGGUGUGAGAGGACGACCAGCCACACUGGGACUGAGACACGGCCCAGACUCCUACGGGAGGCAGCAGUGGGGAAUAUUGGACAAUGGGGGAAACCCUGAUCCAGCCAUCCCGCGUGUAUGAGAAGGCCUUCGGGUUGUAAAGUACUUUUGGCAGAGAAGCGGUAUCUGCAGAAUAAGCACCGGCUAACUACGUGCCAGCAGCCGCGGUAAUUC